GACGAACGCUGGCGGCGUGCCUAAUACAUGCAAGUCGAACGCAGUGGGGACGGGUGAGCAACACGUGGGUAACCGCCCAUUAGAGGGGAUAACACUUGGAAACAGGUGCUCUACCGAUACUGCUGGAUGGACCCGCGGUGCAUUAGCUAGUCGGUGAGGUAACGGCUCACCAAGGCCACGAUGCAUAGCCGACCUGAGAGGAUGAUCGGCCACACUGGAACUGAGACACGGCCCAGACUCCUACGGGAGGCAGCAGUAGGGAAGCUUCGACAAUGGACGAAAGUCUGACCGAGCAACGCCGCGUGAGUGAAGAAGGUUUUCGGAUCGUAAAACUCUGUAGUUAGAGAAGCGGUAUCAAACGAGAAAGCCACGGCUAACUACGUGCCAGCAGCCGCGGUAAUAC
rnacentral:rRNA from 1 species